GGGCCUAUGGUCCAGCGGCAAGACGCCACAUUCGCAUUGUGGAGACGCGAGUUCGAUUCUCGCUAGGUCCACCC
rnacentral:tRNA from 1 species